rnacentral:misc_RNA from 1 species
CGAACAGAAAGGUCGACAUCGGACGUAAAUAUGAAUUUAGAGAAUAACUUUUGAACCUCCUCUCUACCAACAAUGCCAUCAUUAUUUUUCAAAGAUAAAGUAAAUGAAUCCUUGUGACGGGUUAAGAGUAAAAAUUCAAUUACAUCACUGACACGAUGUUGUUUAACGUUCUCAAUUUGAAUGGUGUACAAAUCCUGUGAAGAUAUCAUCAUAAAACACAAAGGGCAUUUCUUCUUGAAAUUAUUUUUAUGGUCAUCUUCUUCGGAGAUCAUAAAAUAUUGCAUAACACAGGGAAAACAGAAGAUAUGACCACACGAAGUUAUCUGAGGACAAAGAGGAUCCUCUAAGCAUAUGGGGCAUUGCACAUGAAAUGGAGUGGAAUAUCUCACACAAACAAUAUCCUCCCACUGUAACAUUUUGUCUGGAUCCAUCGAGUCAGGCGUGUAAUUGCCUGAAUCCAACAGAACAAACUUGUAAUUUGCUUGAAGAAACAAGUCUUUGUUGUAAGGCUUCCUCUUGACGUAUCUCCUAGGAGGAGGCAACCUAGAUUGUGGACGAGAAAUGGGAUCAUACUGAAAAUUGAGCAAGUGGUUUCCACUAACCAUCUGGGUUCUUCUUGAAGCUGAGCGGGUAACAACUCCUUGGGGACUGUUAAAGCCAAACUGGUCUCUUCCGCUGGAAGGAUCAUUGGUCCUAGCUGGUUUUCCUUGUCCGUGCAGUGAGAUUAUAUCACUGUUAUGAUGUCGUGAACUUUCUCGACUGCUACCGGAGUUGUUCACCUUUUUGGAGGAUCCACCAGAAGUAGAUGCAGCGGUAGCCAUGUUUCCUGAGAAGUUGUCGGGUUGCUGCUGCUGCUGUUGUUUGGAUUUGG